rnacentral:rRNA from 1 species
GAUUGCGCAUGGACGAAAGUCUGACGCAGCCAUGCCGCGUGCAGGAUGACGGCCCUAUGGGUUGUAAACUGCUUUUGUACAGGAAGAACCUUCCCGACGAGUCGGGAAUUGACGGUACUGUAUGAAUAAGCAUCGGCUAACUCCGUGCCAGCAGCCGCGGUAAUACGGAGGAUGCAAGCGUUAUCCGGAUUUAUUGGGUUUAAAGGGUGCGUAGGCGGAGGCUUAAGUCAGUGGUGAAAUGCUGCAGCUUAACUGUAGCACUGCCAUUGAUACUGAGUAUCUUGAGUUCGGUUGAAGUAGGCGGAAUGUGUAAUGUAGCGGUGAAAUGCUUAGAUAUUACACAGAACACCGAUUGCGUAGGCAGCAUACUAAGCCGUUACUGACGCUGAGGCACGAAAGCGUGGGGAUCGAACAGGAUUAGAUACCCUGGUAGUCCACGCCGUAAACGAUGAUCACUAGCUGUUGGCGAUAAACCGAUCAGCGGCAAAGCGAAAGCAUUAAGUGAUCCACCUGGGGAGUACGAUCGCAAGAUUGAAACUCAAAGGAAUUGACGGA